rnacentral:rRNA from 1 species
AUUAAAAAUAGCUCUUUAAAAUUUUCAAAACUUUUAAACUUUUUAAACAAAAAUAAAAAAUUAAACAAAAAAGUAUAAUUAUUAGAAAUUUAUCCUCUAGAAGCUAAAAUAAAAGUACUGUAAAGGAAAUUUGAAAAAUUUUAAAUAUUUUUUACAAAAAGAAAAAAUUAAAAUUUCUACCUUUUGUAUUAUGGUUUAACAACUAUUAAAAGAAAAAUAUUUUCUUUACCCGAAACCAAGGGAUCUAAUGAAACCCCAACAAAGUGGUUGUAAAUGUAUUACUGUUACAAAAGUAAACUAAGAGGACUCAUUAGACAUGAAAAAUGAAUCGAACUUGGAGAUAGCUGGUUUUCUGAAUUAAUGAGUCUAAGCUCAAGCUACUAUAUUUUUACUAAAUUAAAAUUUUAGAAAAAAUUUAAAUAAAAAGCUAAACCAAAAGGGACAAGCUUUUUGGUUCAAGGAAAAAGCCUAAAAAAAUAGUUAAAGUCAAAAAAAAUAAAAAGCUAAAAUGAAUAGUAGGCCUAGAAGCAGCCAUCUAAAAAAAAGCGUUAAAGCAUAUCAAAAUAAAUUAACAAUAAUUUAUGAAAAAAAAACUAUAACUUUUUUAUAAAACAGAAUAUUAACUUUAUAGUUAAAAAACAAUGUUAAAAUAAGUACUUAAAAUUUUGAUUAAGUUAAAAAUAAUCUAUUCUAACAAAUAUAUUAUAAAAAAUGGAAGAAAGAAAAUAUUUCUAAAACAAGAAAAAAAUUUUUACAAUAGUUAAACCAACUCAGGAAAUCAAAAAAAUAACAAAAUAACAGGAAGGAACUCGGCAAACACAAGCUUCGCCUGUUUACCAAAAACAUCGCCCCUUGUAACCAAACAAAAUAAGGGGUACUGCCUGCCCAGUGACCAAAAUUUAACGGCCGCGGUAUCUUGACCGUGCAAAGGUAGCAUAAUAAUUUGCUCUUUAAUUGAGGGCUAGUAUGAAAGGCAAGACGAAAGCUUAACUGUCUCCCUUUUAAAAAAGAAAUUAAUAUCUUAGUGAAGAAGCUAAAAUAAAUUUGCAAGACGAGAAGACCCUGUCGAGCUUAAGAAAAUUUUUAUAAAAAAUAAACAAGCUAAUUUUACCUAAUUAUACCUUAUAUAUAAAAAAAUAAAAAUAUCUUUGGUUGGGGCAACCACGAAGAAAAAAAAACCUUCGAUUUUUAUAAAAAAUAAACAAAUUUAAAAGCUCAAUUAAAAGCUUAAAAGAUCCGGAAAAAUUCAACCGAUCAAAGGAAAAAGUUACCGCAGGGAUAACAGCGUUAUUCUCUUUAAGAGCCCGUAUUGACAAGAGAGUUUGCGACCUCGAUGUUGGACCGGGGCACCCAAGAGAUGUAGAAGUCUCUAAAGGUAGGUCUGUUCGACCUUUAAAGCCCUACGCGAUCUGAGUUCAGACCGACGCAAGUCAGGUCAGUUUCUAUCUACAAACUUUUAAUAAGUAGCCUUAUUAGUACGAAAGGAAUUUAAAGCAGGAAUUAAUUACUCUCAUAAAAUUCUAAAAAAAACCUGAAAAAAAAUAAAGCAAACCUUUAA